GAACUAAUGAGUUCAGAGCCUCCAAGUUCCAGGCCAGUUAGGUGAUCAUGGGAUAUUUUUGUGGCCCGGGGUCCCCUCACCAAGAGUAACGCUGUUUUGCCCGGGUUCACUUUAAGCCAACUAGCAUUCAUCCAUUCUCUGAGGUCUGCUAAGCAACUGUUGAUGAGACAUGUUGGGUCUGUAGUAUCUGGAGCAAAGGAGAACUAGAGUUGUGUGCCAUCAGCGUAACAAUGAUACCUUAGGCCAUGUCACCUAAUGAUGUCCCCAGUGGUAGCAAGUAUAUUGUGAAUAGCAUGAGAGGCAAGAUGGAUCCUUGUGGAAUCUAGGGUGUCUCUCAUGGUUUUGUUGGACUAAGGAGCUGGGAUCUUCACAGGUGCCCAUUAGUGAUGUGAUGUGAUGUUACAUCCAAU